rnacentral:rRNA from 1 species
UACGGAGGGUGCAAGCGUUAUCCGGAUUCACUGGGUUUAAAGGGUGCGUAGGUGGGUUGGUAAGUCAGUGGUGAAAUCUCCGAGCUUAACUUGGAAACUGCCAUUGAUACUAUCAGUCUUGAAUAUUGUGGGAGUCAGCGGAAUAUGUCAUGUAGCGGUGAAAUGCUUAGAUAUGACAUAGAACACCAAUUGCGAAGGCAGCUGGCUACACAUAUAUUGACACUGAGGCACGAAAGCGUGGGGAUCAAACAGG